rnacentral:rRNA from 1 species
GAUGAACGCUGGCGGCGUGCCUAAUACAUGCAAGUCGAGCGAACAGACGAGGAGCUUGCUCCUCUGACGUUAGCGGCGGACGGGUGAGUAACACGUGGGUAACCUACCUAUAAGACUGGGAUAACUUCGGGAAACCGGAGCUAAUACCGGAUAAUAUAUGGAACCGCAUGGUUCAAUAGUGAAAGACGGUUUUGCUGUCACUUAUAGAUGGAUCCGCGCCGCAUUAGCUAGUUGGUAAGGUAACGGCUUACCAAGGCAACGAUGCGUAGCCGACCUGAGAGGGUGAUCGGCCACACUGGAACUGAGACACGGUCCAGACUCCUACGGGAGGCAGCAGUAGGGAAUCUUCCGCAAUGGGCGAAAGCCUGACGGAGCAACGCCGCGUGAGUGAUGAAGGUCUUCGGAUCGUAAAACUCUGUUAUUAGGGAAGAACAAACGUGUAAGUAACUAUGCACGUCUUGACGGUACCUAAUCAGAAAGCCACGGCUAACUACGUG